GUCGAACGGAGAUAUCAUUUUCGAAGCGAUUAGUUUACUAAGAGUCGAUAUGUUGAUAUCUUAGUGGCGGACGGGUGAGUAACGCGUGGGUAACCUGCCUUACACUGGGGGAUAACACUUAGAAAUAGGUGCUAAUACCGCAUAAUGAGAGGAGACGCAUGUCUUCUGUCUGAAAACUCCGGUGGUGUAAGAUGGACCCGCGUCUGAUUAGCCAGUUGGCGGGGUAACGGCCCACCAAAGCGACGAUCAGUAGCCGGCCUGAGAGGGUGAACGGCCACAUUGGGACUGAGACACGGCCCAAACUCCUACGGGAGGCAGCAGUGGGGAAUAUUGGACAAUGGGGGGAACCCUGAUCCAGCGACGCCGCGUGAGUGAAGAAGUAUUUCGGUAUGUAAAGCUCUAUCAGCAGGGAAGAAAAUGACGGUACCUGACUAAGAAGCCCCGGCUAAAUACGUGCCAGCAGCCGCGGUAAUACGUAUGGGGCAAGCGUUAUCCGGAUUUACUGGGUGUAAAGGGAGCGCAGGCGGCUUGGCAAGUCUGAUGUGAAAGGCUGGGGCUCAACCCCAGGACUGCAUUGGAAACUGUUAGGCUGGAGUGUCGGAGAGGUAAGCGGAAUUCCUAGUGU
rnacentral:rRNA from 1 species